rnacentral:lncRNA from 1 species
UGAGCCCUGUGGACCCAUAAAUGGAUCUUAUUUGUCCUGCCUUGGCAUUCAAGUUGUGUCGCAGGUCAGAUGGGUCUUCGGGAUGUGUUGGCUCUUUCCUUCUUCUGCGAAGGUGUUCGGGUUGUUCACCAGCUUUUCCAGUCGUCCUAUCCCGUCCUCGAGGGGGGCGGUCCAGCUGGCCGCCCUGAGUGAACCUGGGCAGUGUGGGCUCGAAGGCCUCGUCUUCGAACUCUGGCAAUAACC